GCCCGGAUGGUCUAGUGGUAUGAUUCGCCCUUAGGGAAGCUAAAACGUGACUUAAAUUAGUCAUUACGUAACGCUUAUGUAAUGGGCGAGGUCCCCAGUUCAAUCCUGGGUUCGGGCC